UCAGGCUAUGAUUGUCCAAACGCAAUUCUUGUCUAUAUGAUACGAAAUCAAGAAUUGUGUGGGGACAUCAGCGCUCGA
rfam:Trachymyrmex zeteki contig8511, whole genome shotgun sequence.